rnacentral:rRNA from 1 species
GAUGAACGCUAGCGGCAGGCUUAACACAUGCAAGUCGAGGGGUAUUAGUUUUCGGACUAAGAGACCGGCGCACGGGUGCGUAACGCGUAUGCAAUCUACCUUUUACAGAGGGAUAGCCCAGAGAAAUUUGGAUUAAUACCUCAUAGUAUAGCAGUUUCGCAUGAAACCACUAUUAAAGUCACAACGGUAAAAGAUGAGCAUGCGUCCCAUUAGCUAGUUGGUAAGGUAACGGCUUACCAAGGCUACGAUGGGUAGGGGUCCUGAGAGGGAGAUCCCCCACACUGGUACUGAGACACGGACCAGACUCCUACGGGAGGCAGCAGUGAGGAAUAUUGGACAAUGGGCGCAAGCCUGAUCCAGCCAUGCCGCGUGCAGGAUGACGGUCCUAUGGAUUGUAAACUGCUUUUGUACGAGAAGAAACACUCCUAUGUAUAGGAGCUUGACGGUAUCGUAAGAAUAAGGAUCGGCUAACUCCGUGCCAGCAGCCGCGGUAAUACGGAGGAUCCAAGCGCUAUCCGGAAUCAUUGGGUUUAAAGGGUCCGUAGGCGGUUUAGUAAGUCAGUGGUGAAAGCCCAUCGCUCAACGGUGGAACGGCCAUUGAUACUGCUGAACUUGAAUUAUUAGGAAGUAACUAGAAUAUGUAGUGUAGCGGUGAAAUGCUUAGAGAUUACAUGGAAUACCAAUUGCGAAGGCAGGUUACUACUAAUUGAUUGACGCUGAUGGACGAAAGCGUGGGUAGCGAACAGG